rnacentral:rRNA from 1 species
AUUGAACGCUGGCGGCAGGCCUAACACAUGCAAGUCGAACGAGUGGCGGACGGGUGAGUAAUGUCUGGGAAACUGCCUGAUGGAGGGGGAUAACUACUGGAAACGGUAGCUAAUACCGCAUACCAUCGGAUGUGCCCAGAUGGGAUUAGCUAGUAGGUGGGGUAACGGCUCACCUAGGCGACGAUCCCUAGCUGGUCUGAGAGGAUGACCAUCCACACUGGAACUGAGAAACGGUCCAGACUCCUACGGGAGGCAGCAGUGGGAAAUAUUGCCCAAUGGGCGCAAGCCUGAUGAAGCCAUGCCGCGUGUAUGAAGAAGGCCUUCGGGUUUAAAAGUACUUUCAGCGGGGAGGCGUUACCCGCAGAAGAAGCACCGGCUAACUCCGUGCCAGCAGCCGCGGUAAUUC